CAGAGUGCUGACUCACUGAGAACCCGGGCCAGAGACCUGCAAACAAUGCUCAAUUAAUAUUUGCCCUGGCCGGUGAACCCAGCAGAGGCUGUGCACGGAAGCCCAGAGCACGAUGUCUUGUUAGAAUGCUACCUCCUGGACCCAGCUGCCAGGCUCUGAGAAGCUCAAGUCACAUGGGGAGGCCACGUGUAGGUGACCUGGUCAACAGUCUCAGCCAAAGCCAACUCUCAAGUAGUCCCCUGUGGGUGCCAGACAUGUAGAUCAAGAAGCUUCUGGUUGAUUUCAACUGCCAGCUGCUUGCAUCACCCCCAGCUGAGGUCCCAGAUGUGGUGAAAAAGCAGCCACCCUCCCUGUGCUGGUUGGAAUUCCCUACUCAGAGAAUUCAUGUGCC
rnacentral:lncRNA from 1 species